rnacentral:misc_RNA from 1 species
GGAGGGAUCAUUAACGAGUCUUCAAAAGCUCCAACCCAUGUGAUAUCUACCUUCAGUCGUUGCUUCGGCAGGCUCUGGAGCGUUCGAGCCCGGGCCCGCCGGAGGUAUCCCAAACUUCAGUUAUAGCGUAUCUCUGAGACAAAAAAAAACAAUCAAAACUUUCAACAACGGAUCUCUUGGCUCUGGCAUCGAUGAAGAACGCAGCGAAAUGCGAUAAAUAAUGUGAAUUGCAGAAUUCAGUGAAUCAUCGAGUUUUUGAACGCACAUUGCGCCUGCCGGCCAUUCCGGCAGGCAUGCCUGUUCGAGCGUCAUUACCAACCUCGGGGCCCCCUAUCUUUCGAGUUUUGGGGCCUUCGGUAUUGGAGCACCCGGGGCUUUUCGAGCCCUGGGGCCCCCAAGAUCAUCGGCGGGCUCGCCCAAGCUCUGAGCGCAGUAACUCGCGGCGAAAGUCGUGCCUCGCUCGGCGAAGCUUUUAGGGCUAGCCUCUGCCGUCAAAAAAACCCCCUUCUAAUAGUUGACCUCGGAUCAGGUAGGAGUACCCGCUGAACUUAAGCAUAUCAAUAAGCGGAGGAAAAGAAACCAACAGGGAUUGCCCCAGUAACGGAGAGUGAAGCGGCAACAGCUCAAAUUUGAAAUCUGGCUCCUUAUGGGGUCCGAGUUGUAAUUUGCAGAGGAUGCUUUUGGCGAGGUCCUUGCCGAGUCCCCUGGAAUGGGGCGCCAAAGAGGGUGAGAGCCCCGCAUGGCCUAGGUACCGAGCCUCUGUAAAGCUCCUUCGACGAGUCGAGUAGUUUGGGAAUGCUGCUCUAAACGGGAGGUAAAUUUCUUCUAAAGCUAAAUAUCGGCCAGAGACCGAUAGCGCACAAGUAGAGUGAUCGAAAGAUGAAAAGCACUUUGAAAAGAGGGUUAAACAGCACGUGAAAUUGUUGAAAGGGAAGCGCUUGUGACCAGACUCGAUCCGGGCGGAUCAUCCAGUGUUCUCGCUGGUGCACUCCGCCCGGCCCGGGCCAGCAUCGGUUCUCGCCGGGGGAUAAAGGCGCCGGGAACGUAGCUCAUCUCGGUGAGCGUUAUAGCCCGGUGUGUAAUAUCCCGGCGGGGACCGAGGACCGCGCUUCGGCAAGGAUGCUGGCGUAAUGGUUAUCAGCGACCCGUCUUGAAACACGGACCGAGGAGUCAAGCAUUGGUGCGAGUGUUUGGGUGCAAAACCCGCACGCGUAAUGAAAGUGAACGUAGGUGAGAGCUUCGGCGCAUCAUCGACCGAUCCUGAAGUAUUCGGAUGGAUUUGAGUAGGAGCAUCAACGCUUGGACCCGAAAGAUGGUGAACUAUGCCUGAAUAGGGUGAAGCCAGAGGAAACUCUGGUGGAGGCUCGCAGCGGUUCUGACGUGCAAAUCGAUCGUCAAAUUUGGGCAUAGGGGCGAAAGACUAAUCGAACCAUCUAGUAGCUGGUUACCGC